AGAGUUUGAUCCUGGCUCAGGAUGAACGCUAGCUACAGGCUUAACACAUGCAAGUCGAGGGGCAGCAUGUUGGUUGCUUGCAACCAACGAUGGCGACCGGCGCACGGGUGAGUAACGCGUAUCCAACCUACCCUUGUCCAUCGGAUAACCCGUCGAAAGGCGGCCUAACACGAUAUGCGGUUCACAGCAGGCAUCUAACGUGAACGAAAUGUGAAGGAGAAGGAUGGGGAUGCGUCUGAUUAGCUUGUUGGCGGAGUAACGGCCACCAAGGCUACGAUCAGUAGGGGUUCUGAGAGGAAGGUCCCCCANAUUGGAACUGAGACACGGUCCAAACUCAUACGGGAGGCA
rnacentral:rRNA from 1 species